rnacentral:rRNA from 1 species
GUCCUCUUGAUUUUUUAGGAGGUCAGACCUGCCCAGUGAUAAAUUUAACGGCCGCGGUAUACUGACCGUGCAAAGGUAGCAUAAUCAUUAGUCUUUUAAUAGAAGGCUGGAAUGAAGGGUUUAACGAAAAAUUAGCUGUCUCAAUUAUAUUUUAGAAUUUAGCUUUUAAGUUAAAAGGCUUAAUUUUUGUUGGAGGACGAGAAGACCCUAUAGAGCUUUACAAUUUUAUUUAUUAUUUUUUUAAGUUUAAUAAUUAAUAUUAGUUUUUAAAAUUGUUUUGUUGGGGUGACAAAAAUAUAUAUUUAACUUUUAUUAUUUUUUUACAUUAAUUUAUGAGUUUUGGAUCCAUCAUAGGUGAUCAUUAGAAUAAGUUACCUUAGGGAUAACAGCGUAAUCUUCUUUCAGAGUUCAAAUUUACAAGAAGGCUUGCGACCUCGAUGUUGGAUUAAGAUUAUAGUUAGGUGUAGCAGCUUAACUUAUAGGUCUGUUCGACCUUUAAAUUCUU